CACGUAGGGGGCGAGCGUUGUCCGGAAUCAUUGGGCGUAAAGAGCUCGUAGGCGGCUCGGUAAGUCGGGUGUGAAACCCCCAGGCUCAACCUGGGGACGCCACCCGAUACUGCUGUGGCUAGAGUCCAGUAGGGGAGUGUGGAAUUCCCGGUGUAGCGGUGAAAUGCGCAGAUAUCAGGAGGAACACCGGUGGCGAAGGCGGGUCUCUGGGCCGAUACUGACGCUGAGGAGCGAAAGCGUGGGGAGCAAACGGG
rnacentral:rRNA from 1 species